rnacentral:misc_RNA from 1 species
GGUGAAGAACGCAGCGAAAUGCGAUAAGUAAUGUGAAUUGCAGAAUUCAGUGAAUCAUCGAAUCUUUGAACGCACAUUGCGCCCGCCAGUAUUCUGGCGGGCAUGCCUGUCCGAGCGUCAUUUCAACCCUCGAACCCCUCCGGGGGGUCGGCGUUGGGGAUCGGCCCUUUACGGGGCCGGCCCCGAAAUACAGUGGCGGUCUCGCCGCAGCCUCUCCUGCGCAGUAGUUUGCACACUCGCAUCGGGAGCGCGGCGCGUCCACAGCCGUUAAACACCCCAAACUUCUGAAAUGUUGACCUCGGAUCAGGUAGGAAUACCCGCUGAACUUAAGCAUAUCAAUAAGCGGAGGA